CAGCUGUCAGAGAUUCGGCUGUUAGCAAAGGAAGUCACUAAUUUCGAGGUAUAAUCACUCAUCUAAGAGAGAGACGGCCCGCCUUCAUCUUCCGAGCGGAGCUGGGCUGUGUGGUCUCCACCAGGUGUGCAAGAGGAAAAGAGGCGGUGUUGAGCCACACAGAGAGUGGACUUGAUGUACCUUGUGUGUGCUUUGACAGUGAUAAACCCUGAAUAUUCUUCAAAGCCGAGUGAGCAAAUGGGUUACUCACCGCUGGGUUAUAAGGCAGGGCAGUGCCCACCACAGCGCUCCGGGAAGACUCACCAAGCAGGGGGCCUGUGGGGCAGGGAAGAGGCUGCUGGUGGCUGAUGCCCGCUGCCUCAUCACAGCGCAGCUGACUCCAUCCCUUUCUGCCCUCAGUUUCCUCAUCUGAAAGAGAAGGGCCUGGCUGUUACACGGUUCAAUGUCAUGAUGGUGAUAGAUUAUAUUUGGUUGCAUCAAUAAAAUGAAGCCCAUA